CUAGCAGCAAAAAGAACUUCAGAUGUGAUUAACUUGGAGCUCUGAGUUUGUGUUGCUGCUUUCU
rnacentral:pre_miRNA from 1 species